CGUCUGCAUAAAUUCUGAGGGCGGAGUCACCCAGAGGACCAAUGAGAAAGUGCGUAGGAGCGCCUGUGGCGUCAUGCGUAGAACCCAAGGAAAGAGCGGGAAAGUUCCUGUGAGGAGCUGUAGAGAAAGCAGACGCCAGCGGAACCUGGUGCUGAGCUUACAGAGCCCAGGGACCUGUGGCUCUUGGUCCGGCUCUGCCGUGAAAGCCAGUGGAGCCCUUGCGGGCCCGGUUCCAAAGCCGUGAUGCCUCAGCGGAGACGUAAAAUAAGAACAGCCGCCGGUGGGUCGAAACCAGAGAGAGCGGAGUCCGGCGGAGAGGCAGGUAGGCCCCACCAACCCAAAGAUGAGGAGAAAGUUUGUCCAGUUCAUAAAGGUGGACAGAGGGGUCGCCGAAGUGAGGGAGAACCGAGAGGGGCUCGAGCUGAGGGAGCAGAAAGGCCCUUGCGAGCCAGAGGGGAGAAACGAGAACGACCUAUCCGAGGUGAGGCCUCUGUUGAAAGCCAGAGUUCUGCCGGAGCUGAGGGAAGUGAGAGCCCUGUUCAAGCCAAGGGAAGAGAAAAGACUACUAAAGCGGAGGGAGGCGACUGGUCUCUUAGAGGCAAGGGAAAAGAAAGGCCUACUAAAGCUGAAGGAAUGGAGAAGCCUGUUCAGUCCAAGAUAGUAGUAGAGAAGCCUGAUAGAAUUCAGGGAGCAGAGAAACCUGCUCUGGCGGAGAAGCCUGGUCGAGGUGGGAAGGCGGCUCGCGGUGGGAGGCCUGAGACAAGUGGAAAGCCCAGAGAAACCGAGAGGCUUUUGGGGGAUGAGAAACCCACUCAAGUUGAGAAAGCCACUGGGGCCGAGAAAGCCACUGGGGCGGAGAAAACCAUUCGGGCAGAGAAAGGCACUCGGGCGGAGAAAACCCCCCGCGCCGAGAAACCCACCCGCGCCGAGAAAGCCACCAGCCCUGAGAAACCCACUAGUCCUGAGAAAGCCCCCCGCGCCGAGAAAGCCACCCGCGCCGAGAAAGUCCCCCGCGCCGAGAAAGCCACCAGCCCCGAGAAAACCACCAGCCCAGAGAAACCCACCAGCCCUGAGAAACCCACUAGGGCCCAGAAAGCCACUCGGGCCCAGAAAGCCGCUCGGGCUGAGAAAGGCACUCCAACUGAGAAACCGGCUGCGGCCGACAAACCCGCUCGUGCUGAGAAAACCGCUGGGGCCGAGAGACCCACUCGAGCAGAGAAACUCAUUGGGGCCGAGAAGCCCUCCCGACCUGAGAAACCUACCGGGGCCGAGAAGCCCUCCCGACCUGAGAAACCCACUGGUGCCGAGAAACCCACUCGAGGUGAAAAAUCCACUCGGGCUGAGAAACCCACCAAGGUCGGCCAACCCUCUGUGGCCAAGAGGCACUCCAAGGUGAGGGAACUUGUCAGUGAUGAGAGCCUGGAGUUCCAAGAAGAAGAGGGGUUCCCUCCAGCUCAGUUAGAGGAAUCUGAGGAUGAUGAUGAAAGAGAGCCACCAGAAGGGGAGAAUGAGGCAGAUGAAACUGGCUUUGAAGAACAAACUGAACAGUAUAGCUGGGCGAAGACAUCUCAUCUCAUAGUGCUGAUCGUCGUCUUGACAAUUAUCUCCGUUUUGCUGUUUAUCUACUGGAAUUUUCCUGAGCUUAGUGAAGAAGAAAAAGCAAGUCUGAAGUUUCCCAGAAACCUAGAUGAGUUGACAGCCUUAGCAAAACUUUUCGCCAAAUACAAGGACAACUUUUAUGUUUGUAAGAAACAUAAACGCUGAUUGGUUCCCGGGAAGCAGAUGAUGGUGGCGGAGGUUUUCCAGAAUCCGAAACCAUGAAGUAUGCAGUGGAGAAUGAUGAAAUUUCGAGAUGGGGAAGAGGAGUGUUGAAGAAACGUUUAAUAAAAGCAAUGUGCCUGGUGGAAAAAAAUUCGGA
ensembl:lncRNA